rnacentral:lncRNA from 1 species
GCCUCUAGAUCAGCAGAUGCAACAAUUCUGUUUUUUUCUUUGUUUCUUCCAUUAUGGUUAAGAUUCAUAGUUUCUCACUCUAGUCCGGUUCCUGAUUAAGAUGUAAUCAACAAUUCAUAUAUUUGAAAUAGACUAUUCAGUCUGUAAAAGUGUAUGUCUAACUUAUAAGGAUUGCCUUUUUGGGGAUAAUUACCAGAUGCUUGAACAAAACCCUGGCUGUUUUAAAGAAAUUCUUAUAAAUUUUACAAAUGAACUUUUCCAAGACUUACUGAUUCUUUCUGCUAUUUUAGGCACCAGCUGAUUACGAAGGUAUAGAUUUUCAAACUCGAGCACUGCAACACAGUAACAUUCAUCUCACAUGGGAUGAAGAUGAACCUCAGCGUGUAAAGACCAUGAAGAGAAAACUCAAUGAUGGACAGGUUGGUUCAUUUGAAACGUCUAAACAUAAAAUAUCAGUUUUUUUAUAUGUAUUUGCAAGUUUGUUACUAGGUAUCCACCUCCAUUUGGUUGCACGUAUGUCUAUAUAUUCAUUAUUUGAAUCCAAAAGUGAACAGGGGGAAGUCAAACCGGAGCACGUAAAUCGAUAAAUCAUGAUUAUUCUAAUUAGUUAGCAUUGCAACUGCAAGAUAAUUAACUCAAAGAGGGUGCAUUAUCUGAACGCAACUGUGGACUUGUUUGUAAAUUUUAUCAAAGUUCUGUUUUGUGUCUCCUAUAUAAUAAUAUUCCGACUAUUUUUGUUUUCUUUCAGCUUGCUGAGUUGGAAAUGAAAGAGUUUUUGGCCUCUGAUGAGAGUGAAUCCGACGAAGAAGAUAAUGUUGAUAACACAGAAGAAAAAUCUCUGAAAAAAUGCAGCAAACGAGAUAAGUACCGCGCUCUGGUCCAAUCAGGUGACGGCUCAGACGAAGAUAACGAAUAUGAUAGUGAUCAACAGGACAUGGAAGUUACUUUCAACACCGACUUAGAAGACAUAAGCAAACGUAUAUUAGAAAAGAAGAACAAAGAAGCAGAGACUGUGUGGGAGUCUUAUCUCCGAAAGAGAAAGGAGAAAAAGAAAGCAUCGAAAAAAGGGUCCAAGUAUUCUUCAUCAGAGGAUGAAGGUAUUGAUCGUACUGAACGAGAACAAGUUGAUGAUUUCUUUGUUGAAGAUGAGCCUUCGGCUAUUGGGAGUACUAAAAAAAGGAAGGCUGGUCAAGAAACAGCAGAAGAAGCCGAAGAAGCCGAAGAAGCAAGCAGAGCAGAACUUGAGCUUUUAACUGCUGACGACAAUGGAGGAGAGGCCAACUUAAAGGGCUACAAUUUGAAACCUAAGAAGAUCAAAGGAAAGAAAGGGAAGGGAGUUCAAGAUGAGGCGAAAAUACCGAGUUUCGAGGUUGAAGAUCCGCGUUUUUCAGCUAUAUUGACAUCUAGCCACUUCUCUAUCGAUCCAACUGACCCACAAUACAAAAGGUGUGUAGUAGAUGAAUUUAUCUUGUUUUAUUUAAUAAACGUGAAGAUUUAAUCAAGAAAUAUAAAAAACAGCAACCCCUGUGGUAUGGUUUAAUUACGAAAAAAUACGAAAGAACGCUCCUUGUUUGCAUAAUUACAACCACCCCUGCAAAUAACUCUUACGGAGUUAACACUAGCGGAAUCAUCAAAAUUCUAAGGAAUAUUCGUUAUGAAUUGACACUUGGACACCUAUCCUAUUGAAAAUAUGGUGUCCCGUAGUACGGUUAGGGGUCUAAAUAUAAUGUUUUGCAAAUAUGGAGUGUUUUUUUUAAUAAGCUAUUAAUUUCUCUUUUAAAACUUAUGCCCAUACUAUACCCUUAGGGAUCGACAUGUGAUGUUUUCCAUUUUUGAUCUUUCAAUAGAGAUGCCAUUAUUUCGCUAAUAAGACUACGAUUAACGAUGAUUUCUCGUGUCGUUUUUUGCUGAUACAGGAGUGCAACUUAUGUUCGGCAAGUUGCACAAAAGCAGAAGAUUGGGGACAAGAAAAACUCAGAACAAACGGAUCACUUUGAGAUUCCCGACGAGGCUUCAAUGCACAAACACGACAAGGUAAUAUCUGAGGAAUCCACUAAAAGACAAGAAAAGAAUGAGUUAUCUUCACUAGUCAAGUCAAUCAAAAUGAAGUCGAGUAAAUUAUCUUUAGCCUCUCAAGCUAAAGUACCUCAGAAACGCACAAAUUUGCAGUUCAAUGCAAAGAGACAAAAAAAGUAGGUAAAAAAUUGAUGCAGACUGUGUGCUGCAUCGUGUCACCAAAACAAGAGGUUGAGGAUGCAAGAAAAAAACGGAUAUUUAUUGGAUUAAGGUUUUUGGCAAAGAUGAUGAAUUGUUUUUGUACGAGAUAGGACUUGCCCGUUUUUUACUGUUGUUUCGAGAAUUUCUCAGUUUUGAUAUUGAAGUUCAUUUUUCUUAAUGUCACAUUAUUUCAUUGUGAUUCUACAAAGUUUGAAUAUGUUGUAUUGCAUGGAUGGAUACUACUUGGCAUAACUCAGUUUUUCAAUGACUUGUAUUUUAUAAUGUAGAAUUUCAAUUUCUGUUCCAUAUUCGAAAGUAAGGUUGGGGCUAGAAUUCGUCUAUCUUAGCUUUAUCGGUUACGGUUGAGCACCGACUCUCCUAACGAGGGUUGGGUUAGGAUCGAUAACAUAAUUUUUUUUCUUCUACAGAAAUUCAAUUUUCAGAAUGGGCUACACCAAUUUUUCAGAAUUUCGCUGUUAAAUUUUAUAGAUUUCUUCUACAUAAAAUCAAUUUAAAGAACACACAAUGAAACGUAAAAAAAAAAAAAAACGAAAUUACUUACUCGUCUCCAUUAUGGGGAGAGGUCGGGUGUUCAAAUUCUUUUCGAGCCAUGUAUUGUAAUAAUGGUUACAUCAUACACGAUUCAUUUUUUUUUUUUUUUUUACUAAAAAAAUAAUUUUUCAGUACCUUUAAACAUAAACCAUUAAAAAAUGGGCAACUUACGGCCAACCCCUUGAGUUAUGAUCAAUACAGUCAUCCCUC